rnacentral:rRNA from 1 species
AACACGUACACAACCUUCCUAUAAGUGGGGAAUAGCCCAGAGAAAUUUGGAUUAAUACCCCGUAACAUAAUGAUGUGGCAUCACAUUAUUAUUAUAGCUUCGGCGCUUAUUGAUGGGUGUGCGGCUGAUUAGAUAGUUGGCGGGGUAACGGCCCACCAAGUCUACGAUCAGUAGCUGAUGUGAGAGCAUGAUCAGCCACACGGGCACUGAGACACGGGCCCGACUCCUACGGGAGGCAGCAGUAAGGAAUAUUGGUCAAUGGACGCAAGUCUGAACCGGCCAUGCCGCGUGAAGGAUUAAGGUCCUCUGGAUUGUAAACUUCUUUUAUCUGGGACGAAAAAAGGCUAUUCUUAGUCACUUGACGGUACCAGAUGAAUAAGCACCGGCUAACUCCGUGCCAGCAGCCGCGGUAAUACGGAGGGUGCAAGCGUUAUCCGGAUUCACUGGGUUUAAAGGGUGCGUAGGCGGGCAGGUAAGUCAGUGGUGAAAUCCUGGAGCUUAACUCCAGAACUGCCAUUGAUACUAUCUGUCUUGAAUAUUGUGGAGGUAAGCGGAAUAUGUCAUGUAGCGGUGAAAUGCUUAGAUAUGACAUAG